rnacentral:rRNA from 1 species
UUNUGAACUGGGUGACUAGAGUGUGUCAGAGGGAGGUAGAAUUCCACGUGUAGCAGUGAAAUGCGUAGAGAUGUGGAGGAAUACCGAUGGCGAAGGCAGCNUCCUGGGAUAACACUGACGUUCAUGCCCGAAAGCGUGGGUAGCAAACAGGAUUAGAUACCCUGGUAGUCCACGCCCUAAACGAUGUCGAUUAGCUGUUGGGCAGCAUGACUGCUUAGUAGCGAAGCUAACGCGUGAAAUCGACCGCCUGGGGAGUACGGUCGCAAGAUUAAAACUCAAAGGAAUUGACGGGGACCCGCACAAGCGGUGGAUGAUGUGGAUUAAUUCGAUGCAACGCGAAGAACCUUACCUGGUCUUGACAUGUACGGAACCCUCCAGAGACGGAGGAGUGCCUUCGGGAGCCGUAACACAGGUGCUGCAUGGCUGUCGUCAGCUCGUGUCGUGAGAUGUUGGGUUAAGUCCCGCAACGAGCGCAACCCUUGUCAUUAGUUGCCAUCAUUAAGUUGGGCACUCUAAUGAGACUGCCGGUGACAAGCCGGAGGAAGGUGGGGAUGACGUCAAGUCCUCAUGGCCCUUAUGACCAGGGCUUCACACGUCAUACAAUGGUCGGUACAGAGGGUAGCCAAGCCGCGAGGCGGAGCCAAUCUCACAAAACUGAUCGUAGUCCGGAUUGCACUCUGCAACUCGAGUGCAUGAAGUCGGAAUCGCUAGUAAUCGCAGGUCAGCAUACUGCGGUGAAUACGUUCCCGGGUCUUGUACACACCG